UAGAUACUUCCCUAAAUAAAGAGCACCAACUGACACGAGGCUUCGCGAGAGGUUUUUCUCGAACAAUAAACUAUAACUAUAAACAGUUAGUCAAAAACAUGCGAAUGCUUUCCAGGCAUUUAUUUGUUUUUCGAAAGCAAUAUUUCCCAGAGUACAACAUUUACAAUAACAUAAAUAGCUAAGUCACCUAACUCUUCUUGCACCCAACUCGUUUCAGCACCACAGCGCCACCAGCGAGAGCUCGAGACAACAAACGCACUUAUUUUCUUUAACAACAAUUAUUGAAACAAAACGCAUCAAGAACAUCAAUUGCAUCCCCUCAAAAGUGUUAAGUUGCCAGUUUUGCAUUAGAAUAGUCUUCCGUAAGCACUGCAUCGCUUGUGGUCCCCGAAUUGCCAUAGUGACCGCUUCCCCGCGGCCAUGAUGUCUGAUCGAUGGGAAUUGAACAAAGAGGAUCAAUUUCCGAUCAACGAGAGAGCCGCUUUAAUCAAUGGGAGAAGAGAGCUCCAAAAGCGGCCACAAACACCGGCAAAGAGGGGCUCAAGAGCGAAGCGACAACUCGACAACGAGUUUCAACACAUUAGGCUUCAAGAAAGCAGAAAACUUUAAGGAAAAACCCUGACCUGCAGCUGCUGUAAAUCAAAGCACUUCCAAUAUUGAAACAUCGAUCCCGCAUUGGCCGCCAUCUUGAGACAUAUUGAGACGGAGUGAGAGGCUGAUAGAGAGAGAGCGAGGGGCUGGAGUUCAGUAGAAAGGAGGGGGAGCGCGCGCAAAACACGGAGCGGAGCAAUUGAACAGGGCCAUCGCUUAUUGAACAUGGGCGCGGAAUGGAGUUAUUGAACAGGAACCUGUGAUAUUGAAUAGGGCCACGGAAUAGAAUUAUUGAACGGGAGCUGGGAAUUUCUUUAACAGCUAAAACAUGGGAUGGAUCUUCCACGUAAAUCGUGAACGAUGCACAAUCCCAGAUCCAGGAGUUCAAGAAGGCCUUCACAAUCAUGGAUCAGAACCGAGAUGAUGUCAUUGUCAAGAGUGCUCUAGUCCCCAGCUGGCCCCACUGACCUUCACAUUUUUCUGCCCUGUGUCUCGGAAGGCCGUCUCAGUCAGGUACUGACCCAGAGAGAUCAUUAACACCUUUAAGAUCUUCGACCUGUAAGGACAUGGAGACCUCAAGGGAGAAAAAUAAGCACCUGAACUGUGGGACAGAGAUUCAUUCAAACCUGCCUGAGCAAUGUAUUAUUUUUACAACAUUCAUCUGGUGCCCACACACACUGAAUUCUGUAAAAUGAAACCUAUGAAGGUUGUUGGCCUGUUGGUAUUUUAUACAGAAUCCAAUACCAGUCGGCGAGUUAAUUUGACCACUGGAAGAGCAGCUACUUUGGAAAAACAGCAAUGCAGGUUUGAUUGAAUUAAGCCCUGAUUAAUUAAAAUAUAAUGAGUCAUAAUCCCCAUAAAACCAAGCAGCAAAACAUUAUUGUCGGUUAGGGAUAUUGCCACUUUCAUAGACUUUAUCUCUAACCAGCUUAACAUUGACUCUUAGUCAUUUCAGUGUCUAGAAAAACUAUACUAUACACAGAACUAUAUAUCAGACAGAUAUUAUUCCCUGUCUUUUAUUCUGUCACCAAAAAAGAGAAUCUGACCCACAUCUGGAGCCCUGUCCCACCUUAAACACAUAUUUCAAUAUGACUGUACACUUCCAGGAAACCAUGCAAAAAAACAAGAUUAUAGGAAAUUUGCAUCAAAUAAGAUGUAUUGUGAUCCUGUCUCAAUAUAAUGAAGGCAUGAAAUUAUUAUAUAUACAAUCUGUUUUCGUGCUUGGUUGUGGUCAAUUUGCAGUGUAUUAUUACAAUUCUGUUUCUCAAUUCAGGCCAGCUGCUCUUGAUGGCCUGUGGCUAAAUCUAGUUGCCUAUGCUUGUCUUAGACCCACUUAUGCAAAACAUUGAAUGCAAGUGUUAUCAAUUAAUGAAAAAAAAAUCACUAUGGAGGGUUUUGUUCCCAGAAUAUCAAUGUAUUGUUUUUAUAUGAAGAGAAAAUGGAUUCAGUGUUUCUUGUAAUUAGUUGUCUCUUGUGGACAGACUACGUAAAUAUGUAGAUCUGUCAUGAACCAAUGGUUUGUUUGAGAUAACGAGCAGCAUUAGUUCCGGUGCCUUGGACAAAUCCCAUAUUCGCAGGUGUUGGCAUCUUUUACAUUUCAGAAGGGGAGGGGUGACAUGGCCCUUAGGCCUAGUAGUGAUUCUCUGAGAGAGUUUGGAGCUCUUCAUUCCAGUUCCAAUCUCAUAUGGUAACACACGUGAACCAAGACGUUUAUCAAGCAUCUAACCAAUUAUGCAAAACUUUAGUUUGGGAGGUUAAGUAAGAUUAGGCAAUUGGCAAACAUUACAGCACAAACUAGGAAAUUACUUCUUCUGUAUAAUAUCCAACAUUCCAGAGUUUUGCUUGUGUUUAAAUGAAGGCCUAUUCCUUCAUAUCAGGGGUGUUCCUCCACUGUAUUCCUCUUUACUUAUUUCUAUUGGGAAUUGUGUUUGUGCUUUGAUGGGAAGUCUAAAAACCUAUGAGAACAAGAGGAUAUGUUUUGAAUACAUGGAACUGGACAAUUCCAUUGGAAUUGGACAAGUGAAUCAAACAUGUACGUUAAGUGCUUAUUUUCUAUUUUCUUUUGGAUCAGGCAUAUUUUAUAUCGUUUGUAUGAAAUUGUGUUGUGAAAAUCAUUUAGAGAAACUGACAAUAUUGUUCCAGAAAAUAAUUGUAGAUGAUUGAGAAAAAGCAUUAUUUGAAGUCAUGACCUUUUGUGACCUUUGCAUACUGUAC